rnacentral:rRNA from 1 species
ACGUAGGGUGCGAGCGUUAAUCGGAAUUACUGGGCGUAAAGCGUGCGCAGGCGGUUUUGUAAGCCAGAUGUGAAAGCCCCGGGCUUAACCUGGGAAUGGCAUUUGGGACUGCAAGGCUUGAGUGCGGCAGAGGGGGGUGGAAUUCCACGUGUAGCAGUGAAAUGCGUAGAGAUGUGGAGGAACACCGAUGGCGAAGGCAGCCCCCUGGGCUAACACUGACGCUCAUGCACGAAAGCGUGGGGAGCAAACAGGA